GUUAGCACCUUAUAAAAUAGUAAACAAACAAAAAAGCUGGACAUCUACACAUAAACAAUCCGCUUUUGCGGUGACUUUCUUUUCUUUUGAACUAGGGAAACACUUGGAGAGUUUCUACAGCCCUCCGAAUUAGAAAGUAAGCUUUGAGGCCUCAUUCAGAGGUGUUCGUUAGGAAGUACAGUACCUGCCUAGUUGAAGUAAUUAUGGUAAUACACAACCAGUUCGCAUGAACUCAGCCCACGACAACAAAUUUGAUGUGAUAGAACAGCGGCUUUGGAGUCUAGGCUAAAGAAGUUAUCUUGGACUUAACAGCCCAUAUCUAAACCUCGAAAAUAACAAGUGUAAUUGUGGAAAAUUGCCAUUGUUUGUAUGUAAGACGUCAGAGACAAUCAGUUGAUGACUAUUUUAGACUGUUUUCAAUACACGAAACCUUCGAAAAAUAAAACUUGCACUCAAAUACGUCAGUUUGGAGUAAAACGUGUUAAUAAAGGUCACCACAGCUGAAACCCGUUCAAUUCUGGCUCCAAAAAAUAUAUUUACCUGAGAAAUUACUCGUCCUAGUUUAGAUUUGGGUAAAAGAGCUUGAAAUAGUCACCGAAAAUCACUGCGCCACACCUG